AGAAAACCUCUCCAGGGGCAGACUAAUGCCAACAAGGUCCUCAAAACACCUGAGUUUAGUUCUUGCCCAGACCUGGAAAGCUAAGGACACACCUCCGAUUUUGACUGUGAAAUCUUCGGCUACCAUGCAAUUCCGGGCAGCAAGGUCUCUGUGGACGAACUUAUUGGCGUUGAGGUAUGCCAUGCCGUCUGCAAUCUCUCCGGCCAUCUGAAUCAUCUUGCUCAGGCUUGGAGGUGCUAGGACUGGAUUAUUCUGUUGGAGAUUUAAAAAAAUUCACAUGAGAAUUUUGGAUUUUUUUUUCCAUGCCAAUUUCUUUCGAGGUUUGCAUAUCAUCUUUGUUCAAUCUGGGCACUGUGGGUUGUUUAUGCUAAGAAACCAGGACUUGCUCGGAAGGAACCAACCAUCACAGAGAGCAUGGCACCUGCUUGCUCCCCGCAAGCUUAUUUGCACUUGCUCCCUUGACCACAUCAGAGCUGGUGAGGGAAACACCAAUUUGCACUCGUUAGGACCAACAUUUUCUAUUUUGGGUAGGGCAACAUUUUUUUAAAGUGAAACAAGCCAUUUUUGGUAGUAAGGAUUCUCAGUUACUCAAAUUCCUAUUUGUUUAUAUGUUCCUUUUAUUUCCAUCACCAAAGUACAGGUAAGAGGAAGGAGAGCCUCUUUGCAGAGGACAGCAACAUGCUGGCUUUGGAAUUAAAAAGAAUUACCCUUAAAUAAUACAUCCAUUUAGAACAAAGUUUUAUAUAAAACACAUGCCCAAGUCUCUCCAUCCUAAAACAAUCACUAGUCCCUAAUUUUAACGCUACCUUUUACUUUUGCAUAUACAAGUGCAACAGACUCUACCUUGGUUUUCUUGACCACAAAGCAUCUCAUACAGCACUGCAAAGCCAUAGGGCUCUGACAGGUCCCACACCUGCAGGCCGGCCACCAGCUGAGCAUGCCCAGGCUUUUCCACAUGGGAUAUCACAGUGGUUUCACUGAUGAGGAGAUGACCUGGGGCCACGCACAGAAAGUGCCCAGUGGUGUGUGGCACAUAGUCAAUGCCCAGUGGAUGCUGGCUGCUGCCCUGUGAGGUGCUAGUUUCUACUGAAAGCUAGUAUUUGGAAUCAGUAUAACAACUCCUCGGUACUUCUGGGUUGGUUCUCUACACUCGGUGACACAAACCUUUGAAUUCUGAACAGGCUGUCAAAGCUGUCUCUUGGUGACUUAAAACACUUAUCACGUGGUUAUCUGGGGAAGCAACAUUAAGUCACUGGGGUAAGUCCAAAUCACUACUUUUUAGGGCUUUAGAUAUGUGUGAUGCAUGAGGAAAUAUGCACAUGAAAUGUAAAGUUUAUGCUCACAAUUCUUAAAUAUUACAGUAUGACCUAUAUGUCUUAUGAAGUGGUCAUUUAUAAUUGCCGUGAACAACAGAAUCAACAAAAGCACUCAAUUUUAAGCAUGGAGAAAGAAAGAGGGCUGAAAUUUUGUCAGUUCAUGGUGUUACACUGCCAUUCUUUCCUUUAAUUUGGUUAGAGCUAUUUAAGACAAGUAUACAUAUACACCUACUCAUAGUGAGAUACGUAAGUGAAACUUGGUCGGGGGAGCAAGUUGAAUAUAAUGAAACUGCAGGGUAAGUGCACACAUUUUAAUACUUGACAUGAGCUAGAAAGAAAAAGUUUAAAUCUGACCAAUCUAAAGGUGAAUUUUAGUUCUGAAAAGGACUUCAGUAAUCUUGUCCCACCCUCUUAUUUUAUAUUGAGGACACUGAGGCCCAGGAACCUGCAGCGGCUGUCUGAGGACCACAGGCAGCCAGCCGCAGAGCCAGGACCAAGGCCAUGUGUUCUGAAUUUUUAUUCUGUGCCUGAAACUGGGGAGGAAGGGAGUGAGUUUCAGACUUUUCAGAGGUGCCUCAAUCGAUGCUGGCAAGAAAUACUCUGCCAGAUCUCCAGUCACCUAUUUCAUCAAGCUUUUCUCCUUCAUGCUGUUUUGUGUAUUAAAGUGAACCAAGGGCCAGGCGCAGCGGCUCACACCUGUAAUCCCAGCACUUUGGGAGGCUGAGGUGGGUGGAUCACCUGAGGUCAGGAGUUCAAGACCAGCCUGGCCAACAUGGUGAAACCCUGUCUCUACUAAAAAUACAAAAAUUAGGUAGGCAUGGUGGUGCACACCUGUAAUCCCAGCUACUUGGGAGACUGAGGCAGGAGAAUCGCUUGAACCCAGGUAGUGGAGGUUGCAGUGAGCUGAGAUCAUGCCACUGCACCCCAGCCUGGGCAACAGAGCAAAACUCCGUCUCGAAAGAAAGAGAGUGAGAGAGACACAGAGAGGGUCAGAGAAAGUGAGUGAGUGAACCAGGAAGAGGCACUAACACCCAGGGGUGCUGGGGACCAAUGCUUGGCAGAACAGAGGGUGGGAGUUUUGUAAACCAUCCUGCUUGAAGCCCCAGUCCACACUUGGCCCCAAACACCACGUGCUGUAAAUAAAUGAAGUCAUAUGUGAACAGGUGUUUGGAACUAAAAUUAAGAAACUGUCACUUGGGAGAUGAUUAAGUUGCCGAUUCAAAGAACAUUAAAAAAAAAAAAAAUUUAAGCCCAAAUGAAGAACGGCAAAAGAAUUUCCAAAGGGGCCGAGAAGGGGAAGUUACUGCUUCUAAGGAAUAAAAGCAGACACAGUGCUUACCCCGUAAGUAGCAAAGUAAGGGUCAAAGGGAGGACUUCAGACCCACGGAGGCAACCAAAUGAAAAUGCAGUUCUUGCUGGCUUUAUUUCUCAGCAUUUAUCUCCCAGUUUAUUUGUAGAAUUAAUUACUCAAAAGUCAUGCCCGCAUAUGUUAAAAAGCUGGCCUGUGGGUUAAUACUACAGAGCGGGGAGACACCACGGUGACUUUUAAUGAAAAAUUGCAUAGGACUUUAGCAGGUUUAGAAUUUGAAGCUCAUAACCCAAAGUGAAAUUUUUAGGAAACUAAGCAGAAAUCCUGCAGCUGAGGUGGGAUCAUUCAUUCAAAAGCGCAAGCAGGACACUGACUCUGGAUCAAUCCUGAAACGUGGACGUAGAGUCUGAGGAAACCAGAUUCCCAGUGGCAAAGACAAGGACUGCCAACAAUGCCGGGGAAGGGGACUGUGUGUGGGGAGGGGGUUUAUGAAUGAGUGCACAUCUUGCGCACAGAGCUGGGUGGGAAAUCACCCAGCAACUUCCCAGAUGCAAGGGCGAGAAUCCAGGCAGCUUAACCUUGAACUGUAACACACAUUUAUUGACAGAGUGCCUGCCACAAAUGCGGCCCUGAGCCACACACUUGGACUGAGAUGAAAAGCUAAACACAACGGGGUGGAGGGGGGACACACUCCAACAACAGCACAACACAACACAACGAGAGAGAACACGUACGAGGAUGUGAGUCAAGCGCAUCGAGAAGUUAGCAGAGGAAUAGCUACUGGAGUGGGGCAGGAAAGCUUCAGGGAGGGAGUGGCGCUGGCCUGGCUUGGCAGGUGGACACUGAUGUGGGGAGGGGACUGGGGGUGGAGGGAAUGCAGGAACAAAGGCACAGAGGGGCUUAGCAGAGGGGAUCCAAGGAACAGGAAGUUCCCCUCACGAAGAUCAGAGUCUGACUCUAGUUGGGGAAAUCCUUUGCAUAAAUGACCUACAACUGAGCAUGCAGUAAGAAACACUGGAUGCUGGAAAGUAAACUGAUUUAAAGACACAGCAUUUCCUUGCAGGGAGAUUGUAAAGGAAAAGAGAGCAGGCAAGGCAACAUGCAAUACCGGUGGAAACGAAAACUGACCUCCAUUUCUGGCCUCAGAGACCGGAGAUAACUUUUGAGAUCGCCCCGUGUCAUCAGUUCCAUGAUGACCAGUGUUGGCUGGCCUUGGGACACCACACCCAGCAAUCGCACCUGGGAGGAAUCAAAAAGAGAAAGACUCAGAGGGUCAGGGUGGCCCUUGCUGGUGCCUGUGUUGUCUGAAACUGUCUCUGUGGUGCUGCGGCCUGGUCUGAGCACAGGGGUCUGAAGGUAACAGUGAGGUAAUGGGGUAACUAUCCAGAAGGCAAAGGCAAGACACCAAACCCAAGGGUACAUGCAGCCAAGAACAUACUGGGAGGCUUGUGUGAUACCCUCUCCCUGUGCUGCAUUUUGGCUUUUCAGGAACUUUCUCUUACCACAUGGUGACAAUUGAACUCCUUCAUCACAGAAGCUUCGUUGAGAAACUCAAUCCUUUCACGCAUGCUUGCGGCCUCGUUCACUGUUUUAAUGGCCACUCUGGUUUCAGGUUCAUCUUUCACCACACCCUUGGCAACUCCUUCAUAGACCAUCC
rnacentral:lncRNA from 1 species